rnacentral:rRNA from 1 species
GUCUGCGUGGAGCCGACCUUGAAAUACCACCCUUUAAUGUUUGAUGUUCUAACGUGGAUCCGUAAUCCGGGUUGCGGACAGUGUCUGGUGGGUAGUUUGACUGGGGCGGUCUCCUCCUAAAGAGUAACGGAGGAGCACGAAGGUUGGCUAAUCCUGGUCGGACAUCAGGAGGUUAGUGCAAUGGCAUAAGCCAGCUUGACUGCGAGCGUGACGGCGCGAGCAGGUGCGAAAGCAGGUCAUAGUGAUCCGGUGGUUCUGAAUGGAAGGGCCAUCGCUCAACGGAUAAAAGGUACUCCGGGGAUAACAGGCUGAUACCGCCCAAGAGUUCAUAUCGACGGCGGUGUUUGGCACCUCGAUGUCGGCUCAUCACAUCCUGGGGCUGAAGUAGGUUCCAAGGGUAUGGCUGUUCGCCAUUUAAAGUGGUACGCGAGCUGGGUUUAGAACGUCGUGAGACAGUUCGGUCCCUAUCUGCCGUGGGCGCUGGAGAACUGAGGGGGGCUGCUCCUAGUACGAGAGGACCGGAGUGGACGCAUCACUGGUGUUCGGGUUGUCAUGCCAAUGGCACUGCCCGGUAGCUAAAUGCGGAAGAGAUAAGUGCUGAAAGCAUCUAAGCACGAAACUUGCCCCGAGAUGAGUUCUCCCUGAGACUUAGAGUCUCCUGAAGGAACGUUGAAGACGACGACGUUGAUAGGCCGGGUGUGUAAGCGCAGCGAUGCGUUGAGCUAACCGGUACUAAUGAACCGUGAGGCUUAACCUU